rnacentral:rRNA from 1 species
GACAGAGGGCGCAAGCGUUGCUCGGAAUCACUGGGCGUAAAGGGCGCGUAGGCGGUCAAGUACGUCGGGCGUGAAAUCCCUAGGCUCAACCUAGGAACUGCACUCGAAACUGCAUGUCUUGAGUACCGGAGAGGAAAGCGGAAUACCUGGUGUAGAGGUGAAAUUCGUAGAUAUCAGGUGGAACACCAGUGGCGAAGGCGGCUUUCUGGGCGGUAACUGACGCUGAGGCGCGAAAGCGUGGGGAGCAAACAGG